AGAUAAAUUGUGCUUAAAUAAAUAUAGGUAUUGAUUUUCAGGCCCAGUUUUAAAACUGUGUGGGGCAGUGAAAUCAGCUAUCCCAUCAGAAUAUUUUGCUUUAGAAAUUGAUUAUUCCAUUCUCAAAAGCCACAGUUUGAAAGCUAUUAACAUCCCAUGAGACAGAUAGAUAGAUAACUGUUUCCUGUGGGACCCCUUCCUCUCCUCUUCCCAUCUGACCCCCCAGCCCUGAACAUAGAUGAGAUCUCCAUAGAAAUAUUGAAAUGAGACAAUACCUGGGUACAGGUCUUUCAGACAAGAAAGAAGGAACCAUUCAGUAAUUCUGCAGGACAGAGUUCAAGUUCAGCCUAGCUGUGAGUGCCUAUCCUCUAGAUAUGCUUUAAAACACCCAUGUAUACAUGCACACACUUUUUUUUCCCCAGUGCUCCACUGCCAUAAUACAAUGUUACAUCUCUCAUGAAAUAUAAAGAUAAAAUAUGAAAUACAAGAUUUCUGAAGAGUUUGAAAUCCUUAAAGCAUUUUUGUUUUGUUUUGUAGGGGCUGGGCGUGGACCUCUGGAAUCAGAGUACAGGCAGACAGUGAAGAGUGGUGAUGAACACUGACUGCAAGACUUAUCAUGCUACAAAUCUGGGAAUUUCUAGAAGCAAGAAGAGCACUCCUCUGAAGUUGGCAUGCUGUACGGCUGGAUCUGACCCAUGCUUCUUAAAACGUAAGCCAUCUGUUCUAGAGCCAUCUGGGUUGGCUUUGAUUCCUGAUGGGCAGAUAGCAUUGCUGAAAGGAAGCAUGUGUUAAAACAGGACAAAAUAUAUGUCGCCAGUCACCGAUGUGGAGCUUUAAGCAGAGAGUUUAGAUGUAAGACACUGAAGGCAGCAAAGUUCCUCCUUUUUCUGGAUAAUGAGAGAUUUCUAUUAUUUUUCAAAGAUGAAUCUUUUCGCAGUAAACCACACUUACUCAGAGUGUUCCUUUUAACAUUUUCAUGUAACAGCCAGACAUUUUUCAGCACAACAGUAUGACCAUCUAUCUUUGUUACGGCAAGAGCUGUCGAGGGAAACAUACAGCAGCAGCCCUUUAAUCUUUUAUCUUGUCACGAAUAAGGAAAGAGUUUACACUGAAUUGAUGUCAGCUUUUCUAUAAAUUGAAGAUUUCUUCCCCCCAUUCAUUCAGUAAAAACAGGUUUGAUUUUGAUCGUAUAGGAAUGUAUGCAUUAGUUAAUAUAGCCCAAAACAGCACCCAAACCUCAAAAUCUCUGAGAUUUGAGAUCCUUUAAAUGUGAAC
rnacentral:lncRNA from 1 species